CGAGAAAGCCCGCAAGGGUGAGUAAAGCGGCGCACGGGUGCGUAACACGUGGGUAAUCUGCCCUAGAGUCCGGAAUAACUCGCCGAAAGGCGUGCUAAUGCCGGAUGAGACCUCGGGAGCCUCGGCUCCUGCGGGAAAAGGUGGCCUCUGUACACAAGCUAUCGCUCUGGGAUGAGCCCGCGGCCCAUCAGCUCGUUGGCGGGGUAAUGGCCCACCAAGGCUACGACGGGUAGCUGGUCUGAGAGGACGAUCAGCCACACUGGAACUGAGACACGGUCCAGACUCCUACGGGAGGCAGCAGUGGGGAAUCUUGCGCAAUGGGCGAAAGCCUGACGCAGCAACGCCGCGUGUGUGAUGAAGGUCUUCGGAUCGUAAAGCACUGUCGCGAGGGACG
rnacentral:rRNA from 1 species